UACAGAGGCCACGAGCGUUAGGCGGAAUCACUGGGCUUAAAGCGUGUGUAGGUGGAUCGGUAAGUACCUUGUAAAAUCCCACGGCUCAACCGUGGAGCUGCUCGGUAUACUGCCAGUCUUGAGGCACUCAGGGGCGAGCGGAACAGAUGGUGGAGCGGUGAAAUGCGUAGAUAUCAGCUGGAACGCCAAUGGUGAAGGCAGCUCGCUGGGGGUGUACUGACGCUGAGACACGAAAGCCAGGGGAGCGAACGGG
rnacentral:rRNA from 1 species